GAUGAAGAACGCAGCGAAAUGCGAUACGUAAUGUGAAUUGCAGAAUUCAGUGAAUCAUCGAGUCUUUGAACGCACAUUGCGCCCCCUGGUAUUCCGGGGGGCAUGCCUGUCCGAGCGUCAUUGCUGCCCUCAAGCACGGCUUGUGUGUUGGGCCUCCGUCCUCCUCCCGGGGGACGGGCCCGAAAGGCAGCGGCGGCACCGCGUCCGGUCCUCGAGCGUAUGGGGCUUCGUCACCCGCUCUGCAGGCCCGGCCGGCGCUGGCCGACGCGAAAGCAACCAUUUUUUCUCCAGGUUGACCUCGGAUCAGGUAGGGAUACCCGCUGAACUUAAGCAUAUCAAUAAGCGGAGGA
rnacentral:misc_RNA from 1 species